rnacentral:tRNA from 1 species
GCCUUCGUGGUGUAGCGGUCAGCACGCUGGGCGCGUAUUCCAGAGGUCCGUGGUUCGAGUCCCGACGAAGGCG